GGCUCCGUAGCUUGGUGGAAAGAAGCGCCCAUCUAGCGAAUUGGAAGUCGUGGGUUUGAUUCCCACCGAAGCAC
rnacentral:tRNA from 1 species